rnacentral:rRNA from 1 species
GACAGAGGGGGCAAGCGUUGCUCGGAAUUACUGGGCGUAAAGAGCGCGCAGGCGGUCGUUCAAGUCGCGUGUGAAAGCCCCCGGCUCAACUGGGGAGGGUCACGCGAUACUGAUCGACUCGAAGGCAGGAGAGGGUAGUGGAAUUCCCGGUGUAGUGGUGAAAUGCGUAGAUAUCGGGAGGAACACCAGUGGCGAAGGCGACUACCUGGCCUGUUCUUGACGCUGAGGCGCGAAAGCUAGGGGAGCAAACGGG